AAACCCGACAAUCCAAAAGACAAAACACUGACUACCACUAGUAAACUCAGACAACAUUAAACAGUAAUUAAGAUCAGGUCAAAUACAUUAAAUAAUGUUGACACUAAAUUGCUCAGAUGAAAGUACGCCCCCUUUCCUGUAACAGCCAACUAGGAAAGUAAAAACUGGUAUAAGACAAGAAAUAGGCUCGUCAAAGGUUUCCGCCAUUGUCAUGAAGGAGGUCCAACGCAGAAUCCAAAUGGAAGAAGAAAUCCUUAUAGUUGGUCAAAGAGUAAACCUGCCUGUGUAUAACAAGGCAAGACCAGGACAAAAACCUUCUGUGAGUUGUUUGUUUAUAAAGCUACAGCAGAGGCUGAAGGUAGUCACAAAGACUAGCAAGGAUUAACUGAUCCAGGCCAAAGAUCUGAAGAAUGUCAGGUGGACCUAUUCUAUAAAUAAAUCAG